rnacentral:rRNA from 1 species
GACAGAGGUGCCAAGCGUUAGGCGGAAUCACUGGGCUUAAAGCGUGUGUAGGCGGAUCGUUAAGUACCUUGUGAAAUCCCACGGCUUAACCGUGGAACUGCUGGGUAUACUGGCGAUCUUGAGCCACCUAGGGGCAACCGGAACAAAUGGUGGAGCGGUGAAAUGCGUAGAUAUCAUUUGGAACGCCAAUGGUGAAAACAGGUUGCUGGGGGUGUGCUGACGCUGAGACACGAAAGCCAGGGGAGCGAACGGG